CGCUCCGCUCGCGCGCGGCUGCGCGCCCGAUGGCGCCGCCUCCCGCUGGAGCCGCUCGCCCUACCCCGCCGCCUCCUCACACGCGCCCGUCGCCGCCUCGGAUCCGUGUGUCGCCGCCGUCUCUGUUGCUCGACUCCACUGGGAGCAGGGUGCCGCCGUCAUCGCCGAGGGAGCGGGCCGCUCGGAGCCGCGGGACGCGCCGCCGCCGCCGCUGUGGGUCGCCGCCUUCUCCGCCGCUCGCCGGGUCUGCUCUCUCCCUCCUCGCUCGUUGGCAGAUAUGUUCCAGAUAAGUGGUUUUCUGAAGCAUUUAAUAUGCUACGUCUGUAGAAGCUCCAAAUCAUGAAUACUUAGGAGAAUGGAGAUAAAGGCUGAACUUGCUAUCCCUAUUACUAGCCAAAACCAGUCUGGUUAAGAGGAAAUCCUUAACAGUACAAACUGAAUCCUUCCUCUAAACCAGGUUAUUUCAGUUUCUGACUUACAUGUUCUAUUCUAUUUCAGUUGGUGACUUAAACGUUGGUAGAACCCUGCACAAAUAGGAGGCGGCAUCUUAAUACAAUGAAAAAUGAUGGGAACUCCACAACAGAUUUGUCAACACAAUCAGGUUUUUUCGUUUAUGCCAACGCACUAAGGUGCAGCCGGAAAGGAGCAUCCGAUGCAGUGGGGGAUCGUGGUGACGAUCCUGGUGGUCAGCGACGACAAUCGAUGCCAUUAUUAUUGCCUGCUACUAAGACAAAAAUUGGUGACCUGCUGAUUGAUGUUUCUAACUUUCCCUCGAUCAGGUAUCAGCUUCAUUCAUUUAUGGAUAAAAAAUCCAAUAGAUUGUUCUCCGGACUACAAAAAUUUACAGAAAAAUGCUCAGUGCAUUUCCUGAAAACUUAUGCCAUAGAUCACUACGUACUUAUGCUAAACGAUGUAUUUUCAGACUGGUUAGAGUCUUGGAGCUGUUUAUUUCCUUCAUUUCAGGCUUCUUGCUGGUUCAGAGCCAUGUAAAGAUCGAGUUGCUUGAUAAAAUGUUCCAGUGCUUGAUUUUUUAUUAUUUUCAGCUUGGCCAUAUUGUUUUCUAAGCUUUGCGAGUAGCUCAAAUGAAGGCCAUGGUGAUCUGCUUGAGCAACAUGGCAAUAGUGGCUGGUACAAGUUUUGUGUUUCUCCCGGACGGGUUAUGGCAGAUAGAAAAGAUGAUGGUGAAAAUUGGUACAAAAGCUACAUGCCUACAUGUUCGAUGAAAUACUUCGGUAUCCCCGCUGUCCUAACAAGAAAUUUUGAGCAGCCAUUAUCGUAAAUAUGGUCUGUACUCAAUUUUUUGUGCACUGCUGCAGCCACAAGAUAGAUGCACAUAGAUAAGUUGCUCAAUGAAAUGUGCCAUUGGCCCUGUAAAAAAUUGAGGUUAGAAUUCUAUAGGAACCUGAAUUCAAUGUUAUAUGUGAUUUUUUUUUCAUGUA